rnacentral:lncRNA from 1 species
GAAAUAUUGGGAAAAUUGCAUAAGGCAAGCAGCAUACUUGAGUGCGCCAGAUAUGCUUGUCCAUUUCAAUUUAUAAUAAAUCAUUUGCCAGGAAAUUCUCACAAAUCCAUUUAAAGUUUUGAAAUAUACCAAUAAUGAGGAUGUCAACAAUAAGUCCAAAAGAUGGAAGUUCAAAACUUAGUAACCAGAAAACCAUCACUUCAUAAACCAUUAACAUUGGGAUUGAUGUAACGUUAAGUUCUUAAAGAACUUUGUCCACACCCCCAAUCUGUUGUUCUGCCAGCAAAUGGCAGAAUGACAUAGAAAUAUACUAUAAUAAGUUGAAAUGGGAUUGUUAUUCCAUACAUCCAUUGCAAAUGACAUAUCAAUUUGCCCAGCAAAUCAAUCCACCAGACAACAAGACACAACUCAAAUAGAACAUAUCCAUAAGUUUUGAAUUGUUUCAGUCAACUCCACAGCCUCCCUUCUACUUCAUUAUCAAGCAAAUAGCAUGGAGACACCCAUACACUUGUAAUGUCACUCGGAAGCAGUAGCAACCUGGCAAAUGGCAGCGUCCCCAAAAUUGUAACCCAAGACCUCAGCGUUAUGAGAUACUUAAGUAGAAUCCUGGUACCAAUUAUCCCUAAUUUUAGAUUAUAGCUGAUUAGCUGGUGACUAUCAUGAGCACUAGAAUUAUAUGGACUCCAAGGCAUAUCCUUCUAUAGGAAAUUUAUAUUACAUAUUUCUUUCUUAUUUGAAGGAGUUCCAACAAAAAAUUUCUAUACGGUUUCGAUAUGUACUAUAAUACACCUAGAUCAGGUCACGUUCUGUCUUUUAAAUCAUAAUAGAAAGACAAUUAAAAAAAUUUCCAUNGAAAGCUCGACCAAAAAAAUUAGACUCGACCCAAACUUUCAACUCGAGUCAAAAGCUCGAUUUUUUUUUCUUUUUUUUAAACAUAGGCAGCAGCGUGCUGCCUUAUUUCAGUAAAUAAGGCAGCAACCUUAUUUGAGGCAGCAGGUUGUUGCCUUUAAUUAAUUUUUAUUAUUAUUAUAUAUAAAGGCCGAUUCGGGCUUUUUCCAGGCCGAACCACAUGUAGUUCGAGCCAGCGAGCCCCAUUGCCAUCCCUACAAUGUAGUUGCUGAAUAAUAGUUCUCCCAUAUACUUGGAGACUCUUUCACCUAGGAAAAUUAAAAAAUAUAAAUUAAAUUGCUACCGAAACAAUAAGAUGACAAAAUGGUAGAAAAAAAUGAUUAAUUUAUUGAAUAAUUGCAUCACAGAAGAUAAGAGUUACGGCAUCUUUUUUGCACAAAUAUGGAGCAUUCUGCAUCAGGUGUAGAGCGUAGGGCAAAAUAAUAAUGGUUUAAAUUUGGAAAGCAAAUUGACUACAUAAAUAAAUCACGUGAAAGCUAUCGAUACCUCGCAUAUUUCCUAUUUUCAUCUUCUCACAUUCAUUAAGACAAGCAUAUGAAAUAAUAUUCGGUCAAAGUUCCUCUAUGUUUAAGACGACGUCAUUUGAAUGAACAUAUAUCUACUAUAUUUAUGUACCUUAAUAACCUUGCUUUUAAUUAUCACAAACUUUAAAAAUUUCCAAACCACCAACAAAUGAACUGUGCUUGUGAUGUAAUGAACAACAUAGCACGAUUAUACCUUGUAAAUUAGUAAUUGUACUGAAAAUUAAACUUAUAUCUAACCAAAGAUGAGAACAUAGAAAAGUCAAUGCAGAUGAUGAAUGCAAGAGAGUUAUGUUCAAUGGUACUUCAGGAAAUAUUGGGAAAAUUGCAUAAGGCAAGCAGCAUACUUGAGUGCGCCAGAUAUGCUUGUCCAUUUCAAUUUAUAAUAAAUCAUUUGCCAGGAAAUUCUCACAAAUCCAUUUAAAGUUUUGAAAUAUACCAAUAAUGAGGAUGUCAACAAUAAGUCCAAAAGAUGGAAGUUCAAAACUUAGUAACCAGAAAACCAUCACUACCUUGUUCGAAACCAUUAACAUUGGGAUUGAUGUAACGUUAAGUUCUUAAAGAACUUUGUCCACACCCUCAAUCUGUUGUUCUGCCAGCAAAUGGCAGAAUGACAUAGAAAUAUACUAUAAUAAGUUGAAACGGGAUUGUUAUUCCAUACAUCCAUUGCAAAUGACAUAUCAAUUUGCCCAGCAAAUCAAACCACCAGACAACAAGACACAACUCAAAUAGAACAUAUCCAUAAGUUUUGAAUUGUUUCAGUCAACUCCACAGCCUCCCUUCUACUUCAUUAUCAAGCAAAUAGCAUGGAGACCCCAUACACUUGUAAUGUCACUUGGAAGCAGUAGCAACCAGGCAAAUGGCAAUGUCCCCAAAAUUGUAACCCAAGACCUCAGCGUUAUGAGAUAGUUAAGUAGAAUCCUGGUACCAAUUAUCCCUAAUUUUAGAUUAUAGCUGAUUAGCUGGUGACUAUCAUGAGCACUAGAAUGAUAUGGACUCCAAGGCAUAUCCUUCUAUAGGAAAUUUACAUUACAUAUUUCUUUCUUAUUUGAAGGAGUUCCAACAAAAAAUUUCUAUACGGAUUCGAUAUGUACUAUAAUACACCUAGAUCAGGUCACGUUCUGUCUUUUAAAUCAUAAUAGAAAGACAAUUAAAAAAAUUUCCAUAAAAGCAAAUAUAUCAUUUUUCUACAAUCUUCAGUUUCCUUUCUUCAAUUUUUAGUUUAUUGCAAGAAGUAAUCUCAUUAAAUAUAUAACUUUACAAGGCUCUUAGAGCAUAUACAAGAGACUAUUUAUAAA